rnacentral:tRNA from 1 species
GGGUCGAUGCCCGAGUGGUUAAUCGGGGCGGAUUGUCACUCCGCUGGUUAUACCUAUGCGGGUUCGAAUCCAGCUCAGCUCA